GGAUGCAGAGGUGGAGGAAAACAAAGAAAAGCAGAGCAGAAGCCCAUCGCCUGGGGAAACUCUACCUUAUUAGGGAAUUGAAAAACAUAGGUUCUCUCCAUGGAACACUGCAGAAGCAUGAUGGCUAAUUCGUUUGACAAGCUGGCAGGUCAAUCAACACCCUUCAGCCUGACUGUACCAGGUGUGCAUCCCUGCCCCCAAGAGUGUGCAGAUGGCAGCUACUAAUUUUCAUUCUAAAAGCAUUCCAGUAUAUAUUGUGGCUUUUGGUCUGAUUCAUCAGGCCAUAGAGACAAUAAAGAUGAGGAGGGUGACCUCUAGCUCCCAAUAUAGCCUAAGAGUCACAAAUUGUGGUGUGACAAUUGGCAUAAUUCUUGUAGAGGCAUUGCUGAACCCAUACAUGUGAGCUGCUGGCCGGCCUCAACAAAAGGGCCAAGAUACCUGGCUUAUGACUAGGUCAUUUACAAUAAAGUACCUGCUGUACAGCUGCCAAGCUUGCUAUAUAAGUGUGCAAAAAUUUGGAAUUCAGACCACAAGAAUGCUGUCUGAGUCUUCAGGCACCUGGUCAUCUGGGUCCAGGUUGAUGCUGCAGCAUGUCUUCUAACCCGCCUACCACCAGAGGGCAGCAGCGUACAUUCACAACAAUUGUUGAGAAGUGGAAGCCGAUGAAUCUUAUGUGCAGAAGAGGACAUAGCAAAAGAAGAAGCAUUCCAUACCACCUGCGUUCAUGCCUGCCAUGCCCUGGAUUUGGGCCCCCAUCUGAACCAUCUCCUGCACAUAACCAUGCUAUCAUAAUGAGGAAUCUUGAGAUCUGUGACAAUCUCUCUCUUCUCCCCAGCCCACAGCUCCAUCACACCCUACUCUAAUCACUAAGGAUCACUCAAGAUACUUCACUGUCUUCUGUUUUUCCAAAGUCCCUAAGUCACUUUAAGACUUUCUAUGUCCUCUGUAAACAGUCACAUACUCAUGUCUGGGGCUAGGUAUACAUGUGGAGAUAAGAGUGCAAGAGACAAGAAUGAAGGAGAGAAAAGUGAGGAAGGAAAAAUAAAGAGCUAUUUAUGUGGUAGGUCUGUGUUCCCCAAACACCAUGGGAUGAUCCAAGGAUAUCCAGCAUAAGGUGUGACUUCUUCAAAAUAGCCUUGAGUGAGCAGCUUAGCCCAGAGAAGACCUAAGGAUCCAAAGCAUUGCUGCAUAUUACUCUUAUGUGCAAAGAGGCCAGGAAGCUAUCCCAGGAAAUUUCAUCACAUCCCUCAAUGGCAGAUGCAUUCUACUGAGAAGAGAGCAACGGGUUCACUUGGCAAAUAUUGCUGUCACAUGAUGUCAAUGUAUCUGCAUCUCCUAUGACUUUAACUCAUCUGGAGCACUGCCUGCCUCAGGAGCCAGCACUUUUCCAAGCUGCCACAGGUCAACCUGGUCCUUGGUUUUCCUAAAGACUCCUUAGUCUGAGGGAAUUUACUUUCCCAUACUUCUGAGACCCAAAUAACCCAUUUCCCAAAUCCAGCCAGGAAAACCAAAUGGAAAUAUUUGGGGCAUCUAUGAGAAAAUUCUCCUUCAGGUCAGCAUCACUCUGUGAAGGCCAAGUUACCCUUAUCUCAAGUCUACACCAAUGGUAAUGAAUUUUUAAUAAAAAUUUCUCAGGAGAAAUUUCUUUUACUAUGACUGGCCUUUUUGUUUAAUCUCAAAACCAGAGUUAAUAAUAUACUCUGAGGUUACUUCAGACGUAGAACAAUGCCAGUGUAUGCUUUUCCUUUGUAUAACCUGUCCUUAAGGGACUAAUGGAACAACCAACCUUACUUGCCUUGAGUUUUAAGUAACCAAUCAUUAUAAUCUGAUGUAAGGCAUAGCUGUUAUUUUAAAAUAUGUUUUUCAAUGCUUCUGACCCAGAGUGUAAUGAAUUUUUAUCUAUGUAAGUGUUACAAUGAUCACAUUUGGAAAAUGGUAAAUAGGAUAAAAGCUGUUUUUAAAAAUGAAUACCCACCACAAAUAUUGAAUAAAACAUACAAAUAGUGCAUG
rnacentral:lncRNA from 1 species